CCUGCCUCUCCAGGAAUCUUGAUGAGUGGAAUGGAUUACCAGUAAAACGUAUUGAGUUCCUUUGAAGGAUAAGAGAAGAGGACAAGCGAUGUGGAGCAGUGAGAAGCAAAGCUGCCCAGCCAAGUCCAGCAUACAUG
rnacentral:lncRNA from 1 species